rnacentral:rRNA from 1 species
UACGUAGGGUGCGAGCGUUAAUCGGAAUUACUGGGCGUAAAGCGUGCGCAGGCGGUUCGUUGUGUCGGCGGUGAAAGCCCCGGGCUUAACCUGGGAACGGCCGUUGAAACUGGCGAACUGGAGUGUGGCAGAGGGGGGUGGAAUUCCGCGUGUAGCAGUGAAAUGCGUAGAGAUGCGGAGGAACACCGAUGGCGAGGCAGCCCCCUGGGCUAACACUGACGCUCAGGCACGAAAGCGUGGGGAGCAAACAGG